CUGGCAUCAGUGACCAGUGUCUCCUUAAAUUUUACCCUCUGAUUCUGGCCCUCUGACAUAGUAGACUCUGAAGCAAUAACAUUAUUAAAUGUAACAAUGACUAUUUCUUGAUAAUAAAGGAUAACAACCAUCUUAAAUUUGCAUAUGCCUAAACAAAGCUUUAAAACAUAUAAAGCUAUAACUGAUAUAGCUUAAAAAACACAUCCAAGAAAAACAUUAAAACCUAGAACCAGAGAUGAACAUUUUAGCAUACCACUCUUAGUAACAGCUAGCACAUGCCUUUGUCACCAUAUGACAUUUCUCUCUAUGUCUUAGCAUAUCUUUAGAUGGUCAUUUUCUCAUAAGAAUAUCAGUAAUACUGGAUUGAGAAGUCAUUCUACUCCAUUGUGACCUCAUCUUACCUAAUUAUAUGUCCAACCAUUCUACUCUCAGAUAAGGUCACACUCUGAGAGUUCAUCUACUCAAGUCUAAUUGCAUCUUCAAACCACAGAUUUGACAAAUGUCCUAAUGAAGCUAAUUACUGCUGAUCUCAUCUUGCCUGAGAAGACAUGUUCCAACUCUGGAAAUAUGUCUUCUGCCAUGAAGCCAGUCAAAGAUUAUACUACCUUGAACUUAAAGAUUCAAAACAAGUGACUCUACUCAUGAGAA
ensembl:lncRNA